rnacentral:rRNA from 1 species
GUUAAAAAAUUAUUAUGUUAUAUUUUUAAAAAAUUAAAUUAUUAAAAUUAAUUAUUUAUUUAUUUAGUUAUAGUAUUUUUUAUAGAAUUAAUAAUUUUAAUUAUAGUUAAUUAGUAUUGUAAAAGAAUUUUGAAAUAAUUGAAAAAUUUACAAUUUAAAAGAAAAUUUAAUUUAUUGUACCUUGUGUAUCAGGGUUUAUUAAAUAAAUAUUUUUUAUAAAAAAUUUUCUCGAAAAAAAAAGAUUUAAUUAAAUAUUAUAGUUAAUGUAUCAUAAUUAUUAUAAAUAUUUUUUUUGAAAUGAAAUGUUAUUCGGUUUUUUUGAUAUCUAGUUUUUUUAGAAAUAAAUUUAAUUUAUUUAUUAUAGAAUUAUUUUUUUUUAUAAAAAUUAAAUAAUUUAUAAUAAAAAUAUUUAAUGGGAUGAGCUUUUGAAUAAAUUUUUAUAAAUUUUUAUUUAUAUACAUAUAUUUAUAUGCUUAUAAUUAGCAAUUAAUAAUAAGUUUGUUAUAAAUUUAUAUUUUAAUAAAAUAUUAUUUAAUUUAUUUUAAAUUUUUUAUAAAAAUUUUAAAUUUAAUUUUAAAUUUUAAUUAAUAAUGAUAGAAUUAGUAUAAUUUUUAGUUAAAAUAUAUUAAAUUUAUGUUAAUUUAUUUUAAGGAAUUUGGCAAAUUUUUUAUUCGCCUGUUUAACAAAAACAUGUCUUUUUGAAUUUUAUUUAAAGUCUAAUCUGCCCACUGAUAAAUUUAAUUUAAUGGCCGCAGUAUCUUAACUGUGCAAAGGUAGCAUAAUCAUUAGUCUUUUAAUUGGAGGCUUGUAUGAAUGAUUGGACGAAAUAUAAGCUGUCUUAAUUUUAUGUAUUGAAUUUUAUUUUUUAGUUAAAAAGCUAAAAUUUGUUUAAAAGACGAGAAGACCCUAUAGAUCUUAAUUAAUUAUAUAUUUAUUUUUUUAGGUUAUUUUUUAAAAUAAUAUUUUAAUUUAUUUUAUUGGGGUGAUAUUGAAAUUAAUUUAACUUUCAAUUAUUAUAAUCCAUUGAUUUAUGAAAUUUUGAUCCUUUAUUAUUGAUUAAAAAUUUAAGUUACCUUAGGGAUAACAGCGUAAUUAUUUUGGAGAGUUCUUAUCGAUAAAAUAGGUUGCGACCUCGAUGUUGGAUUAAGAUUAAUUCUGGGGGUAGAUUUUCAGUUUAUUAAGUCUGUUCGACUUUUAAUUUCUUACAUGAUCUGAGUUCAAACCGGCGUAAGCCAGGUUGGUUUCUAUCUUUAAAAAAAUAUAAUAUUUUAGUACGAAAGGACCAAAUAUUAAAAAAAUUAUUUUUUAAAAUAUAUUGAAUCUUAUUAAUAUAAUUGAAUAAUAA